AUAUAUACAUUUACACCUUUCACAAAAAUUACCAUAUCCACAUAUCACAUAUUUGAGCUUCUCAUCACCAUGCACAAUUUCUUAAUCAUAUAAGCAUAAAACCUCAAAGAAAAUAUAGAUACAAGAAAACUUACACUCGAAAUUUAGAGUAAGGGUUUAGGCUACUACUAAAUUCCCCAAUAACGCAUUGAAUCAUGUCCACAAGCAAUUAUUCCAAACACUCACCAAUUAUGCUUUCGUCGAAAAGCCAAAAGCUCAAGCUAGUUCUUCCUUACCUUUAUCUUGUAAAAGGCUCCAAAGAAUUUGAGACUUUACACACAAUAACC
rnacentral:lncRNA from 1 species